GAUGAACGCUAGCGGCAGGCUUAACACAUGCAAGUCGAGGGGUAACAGGGUGCUUGCACCGCUGACGACCGGCGCACGGGUGCGUAACGCGUAUACAAUCUGCCUUGUACUAGGGGAUAGCCUUUGGAAACGAAGAUUAAUACCCUAUAGUAAGUAGAUACGGCAUCGUAUUUAUUUUAAAGGUUACGGUACAAGAUGAGUAUGCGUCCUAUUAGUUAGUUGGUAAGGUAACGGCUUACCAAGACAGCGAUAGGUAGGGGCCCUGAGAGGGGGAUCCCCCACACUGGUACUGAGACACGGACCAG
rnacentral:rRNA from 1 species